UAUCCUAACCGUGCAAAGGUAGCAUAAUCAUUUGUCUAUUAAUUGUAGACCUGUAUGAAAGGCAAAAUGAGGGUUUAACUGUUUCUGGUAAUAAACUUAUUAAACUGAUUUUAUAGUAAAAAAGUUAAAAUAUCUCCAUAAGACCAGAAGACCCUGUGAAGAUUGAAUUAAACCGUUAAACCAAAUAAGGAUUAAUUUGGGUUGGGGCAACCUUGGAAAUAAAAACAACUUCCAAUUAUAAGAAACUACCAAAUCGGCCUACAAGCCAACUAACGACCCAGUAAAACUGACAACUGAACAAAGUUACUCCAGGGAUAACAGCGCUAUCUUCUUCAAGAGUCCAUAUCAAAAAGAAGGUUUACGACCUCGA
rnacentral:rRNA from 1 species